UUCUUUGCAUUAUCACUUGUUGUUUGAGGCGCGUUAUAUUUCGUUGUUGUUACUGUUGUGGUCUUUAGUCUUGGGCAUGUAAUGGACUCACACGUAUGAGUUUUGAUAAUUUUUAUUGUUUACGACAACAACGAGAGUGGAGAAGAGUGAGUGUAUUUUGUGUUCAGAACUAAAGUAAAGUAUGAGUAAGACCAUCAUACCCGGCCAUCAGAUCUCGUUGUGAUUUUCAUCGUGUACAAGUUGGACUCACUGUCAGUUAGUCAGUCACAUAUAUUGUAGCAGUGUCUGAGUGUGUGUUUGUUGGAUUGCUUGCUGGCUGGCAGGCAGGCAGAUUUAGUUGUGUGGUUCGAGUUAAUACUUAGUGCUGGGGUGAUGUUAAUGUUGCUGCUGCUGGCUGAAUAAGUAGCAACAACAACUUUAGCAGUUAAAGAGUAUUUAUCUGUAAGAGCUACCGAGAGUAUCAAUGCGCGGCAUAUUCAAAAAAUUUCAAUACAAAUUCAAUAGUAAUGGAAAAAAACAGAAUUUACUUUUACCACAACUGUUUUUCUUAAACCACAAGAAUUCUAGACAAAAGUGAAAAUUUCUUUAAAAAAAAACAAGAAAGUGAUAAAAUUUAAAGAAACAAAUAAAUAUAAAUUAACAACAGAACAAAAAAUUUUUUGCCCACAUAAAGUUUAAAAAACAAAAAAACCCCAAAAUAUGUUUAUGAUAAAAAAUUUAAAAAAAUCUUAAAAAAACAAACAAAAUUUUUUUUACAAAAAAAAUUAAAUAAAAAUUUAAAAACAAAUAAAAUUUUUAUAACAAGUUUUAAAAUAUAUAAAAAAAAUUAUAACUGCAAAAAAAAGUGCAAGGAUUAACAAAUGAAAUCUAAAGCAGUCCCAAUAUUUUUAAAGUGGUUUUUUUCCCCAAAAGAAAAAAAAUGUUAUCUUUAAAUAAACCUCACAUACUACAUACAAUUAUGUAUAAAAAAUGUACAUUUGUGUAGAUUCCUGAACAUGUUUAACAUUUAAAUGCAAAAAAUAAAGAAAAUAACAAAAAAUUCAAAACUAUUUGGUAUACAGCCAUCAUCCACAGCAGCCAGAGCCAACAAACCAAAUUACGCUGCUGUUAAAGACACAAAAAAAAUUUCUAAAAGAAAAGAAAUCUAAAUAAUAAAAAAA